rnacentral:rRNA from 1 species
CCAGCAGUUUCGGUUAAACGAUUAAUAUUUGUAAGUGGGGUUUGUUAGUUUUUGAAUGCUUUGGAAAAUUAAGGUGAAAUUUAAUUUAUUUUUGUUUGGGAAUAUACAUUGAGAUAGAUUAAGGAUAAGGAUUAGAUACCCUUGUACUUUGGAUUUGGAAGUAGUAGGUUUAGGAGUUGAAACUUAAAAGUGUUGGCGGUUUAAAGGUUUUAUAGAGGGGCUUGAGUAGUGAUAGAUGAUCCUCUUUUAAGUUUUUCUUUAUUUUUUAUCUUUUGUAUUUUUGUAAUAUGGAAGUUUAGAGAUUUUUUGUGGGUAAAUAUAAUUUGUUAUUGCAAAUCAAAAUGUAGAUUAUAGUUUAGAAUACUUUAGCCACUUUGUUAAUUAGUUUGAAUUUUAGUAUUUAUUAGUAAGUUAUUGGUUUUAUCUUUUUCUGAAUUUUUAACUUUUGAUGCACAUAUCGCCCGUCGCUUUUAUUUUGGUAAAAUAAGUCGUAACAAAGUAGA